GAUGAACGCUGGCGGCGUGCCUAAUACAUGCAAGUCGAGCGAACGGACGAGAAGCUUGCUUCUCUGAUGUUAGCGUCGGACGGGUGAGUAACACGUGGAUAACCUACCUAUAAGACUGGGAUAACUUCGGGAAACCGGAGCUAAUACCGGAUUAUAUUUUGAACCGCAUGGUUCAAGAGUGAAAGACGGUCUUGCUGUCUCUUAUAGAUGGAUCCUCGCUGCAUUAGCUAGUUGGUAAGGUAACGGCUUACCAAGGCAACGAUGCAUAGCCGACCUGAGAGGGUGAUCGGCCACACUGGAACUGAGACACGGUCCAGACUCCUACGGGAGGCAGCAGUAGGGAAUCUUCCGCAAUGGGCGAAAGCCUGACGGAGCAACGCCGCGUGAGUGAUGAAGGUCUUCGGAUCGUAAAACUCUGUUAUUAGGGAAGAACAUAUGUGUAAGUAACUGGGCACAUAUUGACGGUACCUAAUCAGAAAGCCACGGCUAACUACGUG
rnacentral:rRNA from 1 species